AUUUUUUAUUUUUAUAUAAUUUUCUACAUACGUGACUUUACCGAAAAAAAAGCAAUGAGUAUAGUAAUUUAUGCAGUCACGAAAGCUUCAAUUCUAUAUUUAUGUGCACCACAGUUAGUCGCUCGGCAGGUCGUAUGUGCGGUGAAGUGUAGGUACUCCCAAGACAUCUGGCCAGCGUGAAAGGGUAGGCCAAAUGCCCCUCGAGUGGAGGCCCUUUGAUGAGCAAUACCAAUUGAAGGGCUGCAGAUUUACCCUCAGGCUCCGUGUCACCAUCCUCUGUUUUGUCUUAUCCUGCGCCCUGUCUUCAGCUGAAGUCAGCAAAACGCAGCUGUGCACAAGCACUCGCAUAUAUAGUAAUAACAUUCCCCAAUUCACAGAGCAACCGACGUUCGGCUUGCAUUUGUAAAUUGACCGGUAGACUUUGGAACAUGGAAUGGGGUGAGCAGUUUGCAAAGCCCUGGAUAAAAAAAAAUGCGCACGUGAUAAAAAUGCUAAUAGAAUAUUUUUUUUGUAAAUAAAAGAAUGACAACGUUAAUGACAACCCCACUCGCGAGCGAGACCGACGAGAAUGAUAUCCUUCCAGCAUCACUCACGGCAGGGUUCUGGCAACUGGGAUCUUUUUCGUUGCCCCUGCCUGCAGGUUAUGAACGUGAGGAUUGAGUGACAUCUGUAAAUGUCUUCUGACAGAACGCGAAGGUCUUUCUCAACUGCCCAUCUGACCCGUCAUCACCAUCUGAUGUAUAUCCGCUAAUAAGCGAACAGAAUAACCACAGUUUUUAAUGUCGAUCGGUAUCGAUGUUACGCAAGUAUUGUAUACAUUCUUUAAAAAUAAGACGUACUUGUAUUUUAAUAUGCUUUUUUUAACACAGCUUCUCGUUGAAAUAAAACAAACUGAUUUGUAAUAUUUCUUUUGCACAUGCAGUAAACGUGUGUGCCGUCACUGAUUAAACCGUGUAGGUCUUGUCUGGAAGACCUAUUUAAUUUGCAUGCAUUAUAUUUAGACAAGGAGAUCGCUUGUUCGUUAUUAUCGUGGUCUCGUAAAACCAAACAAUUGGGCCUUCAGGGAAAACCAGCCAGAGACAUGCGAUUCCUCCGCAACACUGGAACACGGCCUUUACAAAUAAAUCGCCGUGCACAGUGUAACACAAGCACGGUACAUUGCACGGUGGCUGGGGGGGGGGGGGGAGGUGCAGGCUUGAGGGCCGUAGAGGGGACUGAGGGGCUCGCUGCCUCCUGCCGCACAUGGUGAGCAGUGCACUGGCGCCUUCUUACACCCAGCAGUCUAGAAAGUGGGGGCACCACUGGGUGAGUCCAUCGGCAGGUGGCGCGUAAGCGGUGUCGAGCUUGGGAACUCCCCGCCGAUUCCAAGACAUCUGGGCCAGGAGGACAACGAUCCUCGAGUGGAGCCCCCGAUAGCCAGCAGUGGCAAGAGCAAGCUACACACACUAUAACACUGUUUUUAAUUUUACCAGGUAUGGCCAACCGAGGCUAUAUAGAUGUGUUUCAGAAGCGAACUGGCCACAAGUGAUUCGCUCAACGAAGUGGCGUAUCAUCAUGUCGAAUUUUAGAGCAGAAAAAAUACUCUGAACGCACAAUGUUGAUUCUAAAUGUGGAGAGGACACGCAGACUUCGAAGCAUCGGGGUUGGGGUCAAACUCACGACCUCCUGUAUACCAGGCGAGAUGGAUAACAUCUCGCUGACGUGGUGCCCCAAGCUACUGCAGGGCUGCGCCUUUAGCUUCACUUACGGAUUCGUUGGUUUGCCCAUCACUCCAUUGUGUGCGGUGCUAAAUUCAGCAUUACAUGCCAGCCCAGUGGUGCUCAUUCCACAUUCCUAUGGUGGAGUCGAGUCUUUUCAUUGGACAAUCUCCUCUGACUUCCUCACAAAGUGGGUACCUAAUUUAUCGACCCCGGAGGGACGAUGGGUUGAAUCGAGGUCUCUUGUUACACAACAAAGCAGAAACCUAUCAGAUUGUACACAGAUACGGCUUUUUAAUCAGAUAUUACAGUCGAAACAUAGAAUAUUUGAAGACAAUCUAACGUAAGCAACUUAAAAGCAAAAGCAAUCCGGCGAAGAUGAUACUGAACACAAUGAUACGUCAAUUAGACAUCAUGUGACCUUAAAUGGGGGGGGGGGGGGACGCGGGU